AAUAUUAGCUUUACUGUCCCCAACUACUAAAAGACAGGUACGACAAUUGCUAGGGCUGACCGGAUACUGUAGACAAUGGACAGAAGAUUAUAGUGGGAAGGUUAAAUUUUUGUACAAUAAGCUGAAUAAGGACGGAUUACUCAAAUGGACAAAAGAUGAUGAGGAGCAAUUAGAGAAAUUAAAGGAAGAACUUAUGCAUCCACCAGUUUUGAGUUUUCCAGAGUUAAAGAAACCAUUUUUCCUGUUUGUGAAUAGCACCGAAGGGACUGCCUACGGUGUGCUUGCCCAAGAGUGGGCAGACAGUAAAAAACCGGUGGCCUAUUUAUCCAAACUGCUAGACCCCGUUAGUAGAGGUUGGCCUAGCUGUUUGCAAGUUGUGGUGGCAGCUGCCCUAUUAGUGGAGGAAGCUCAAAAGAUUACGUUUGGGGGAGAAAUCAGGGUUAUAUCCCCCCACAAUAUACGUGGAGUGCUGCAACAAAAAGCUGAAAAGUGGAUCACAGAUGCAAGGCUGCUGAAAUAUGAAGGAAUUUUGAUAUCUUCACCCAAAUUAACACUAGAAACAACCUCAGUACAGAACCCUGCUCAAUUUCUUUAUGGUGAAUCGAGAGAGAAGCUCGAACAUGAUUGUCUUAGAAAUAUAGAAGAACAGGUAAAAUUAAGACCUGACUUAGAAGAUGUGGAAUUACCCUCAGGGGAGCAGAUAUACGUGGAUGGAUCCUCAAGGGUAAUUGAAGGUAAAAGAAAAUCGGGAUACGCAUUGGUUAAUGGAAAAACAUUCGAGGUAAUAGAAUCAGGCCCUUUGAGUCCGAGUUGGUCAGCACAGGCCUGCGAGUUGUAUGCUAUGUUAAGGGCUCUAAAGUUGUUAAAAAAAUAAAAGCGGAACAAUAUAUACAGAUUCAAAAUAUGCAUAUGGAAUAAUCCAUACAUUUGGAAAAAUAUGGGAAGAAAGGGGACUAAUUAAUUCUCAAGGAAAAGGACUGAUUCACGAGGAACUAAUUAUCCAAGUUUUACAAGCUGUAAGGGAACCAAAAAACAUUGCUGUGGUACAUGUCAAGGGACAUCAGAAGGGAACAAACCCUCAAAUUAGGGGAAAUAAUUUGGCAGACCAGGAGGCAAAACGAGCAGCACUCAUGUGUGUAUAUGAAAUAGCUAAGAGGGCGGACUGUCCGAGUUGCGGCAGGGGGAAGGAUUUAAAGAAAUUCCCCUGCUAUGAUUGCUGGAGUGAGUGGGGAGUCGAGGGAAUAGAGUGCAACUGCUCUGAAAAAGAAACACCUCCUUAUAAAAAUUGUUACAAGUGUGGACCGGCUCAAUCGCUGUGGUCGAAUGGGCCUAUU